AUUGAACGCUGGCGGCAGGCCUAACACAUGCAAGUCGAAUGGUAACAGGAAACAGCUUGCUGUUUCGCUGACGAGUGGCGGACGGGUGAGUAAUGUCUGGGAAACUGCCUGAUGGAGGGGGAUAACUACUGGAAACGGUAACUAAUACCGCAUAACGUCGCAAGGCCAAAGAGGGGGACCUUCGGGCCUCUUGCCAUCAGAUGUGCCCAGAUGGGAUUAGCUAGUAGGUGGGGUAACGGCUCACCUAGGCGACGAUCCCUAGCUGGUCUGAGAGGAUGACCAGCCACACUGGAACUGAGACACGGUCCAGACUCCUACGGGAGGCAGCAGUGGGGAAUAUUGCACAAUGGGCGCAAGCCUGAUGCAGCCAUGCCGCGUGUAUGAAGAAGGCCUUCGGGUUGUAAAGUACUUUCAGCGGGGAGGAAGGGAGUAAAGUUAAUACCUUUGCUCAUUGACGUUACCCGCAGAAGAAGCACCGGCUAACUCCGUG
rnacentral:rRNA from 1 species